UGUGUAGGCGGUUCUUUAAGUUUGGUGUGAAAUCUCCCGGCUCAACUGGGAGGGUGCGCCGAAUACUGAGGGACUAGAGUACGGGAGAGGAAAGUGGAAUUCCUGGUGUAGCGGUGAAAUGCGUAGAUAUCAGGAGGAACACCGGUGGUGUAGACGGCUUUCUGACCGUAACUGACGCUGAGACACGAAAGCGUGGGUAGCAAAACA
rnacentral:rRNA from 1 species